GUAGGGAAUAUUGGACAAUGGGCGAAAGCCUGAUCCAGCAAUGCCGCGUGAGUGAUGAAGGCCUUAGGGUUGUAAAGCUCUUUUACCAGGGAUGAUAAUGACAGUACCUGGAGAAUAAGCUCCGGCUAACUCCGUGCCAGCAGCCGCGGUAAUACGGAGGGAGCUAGCGUUGUUCGGAAUUACUGGGCGUAAAGCGCGCGUAGGCGGCGAUUUAAGUCAGAGGUGAAAGCCCGGGGCUCAACCCCGGAAUAGCCUUUGAGACUGGAUUGCUAGAAUCCUGGAGAGGUGAGUGGAAUUCCGAGUGUAGAGGUGAAAUUCGUAGAUAUUCGGAAGAACACCAGUGGCGAAGGCGGCUCACUGGACAGGUAUUGACGCUGAGGUGCGAAAGCGUGGGGAGCAAACAGGAUUAGAAACCCGUGUAGUCC
rnacentral:rRNA from 1 species